UCUCUCUCUCUCUCUCUCUCUCUCUCUCUCUCGCGUGUGCGCGCACGUUGCAGAUCGAAUCCCUAGUUUCCCCAACUCGUCUUCUUCUCUCUUCUCAGUUUCUUGCUCUGCCAUCCCCUUCCCUCUCCAACUUAAAUGUCUUCCUCUUUAUUUAAGUUGUCAGUUUUUCUAGCGAAAGGAAGUAGAACGAGAAUAAGAAAUCUUCUGUCUUGCUCCAAUUAAAAGUUUUCUGUGAACUUAAUUCCUAAGUAGAAAUCUGUUUUAGUGGUGUUUCUAAGUGGUUCUCUGUGAGUGAGAAACUUGAGUGGUUUUGUGGUCUAUGUGACAGGCCUUGAUGGCGGUUUGAGUGAUUAAAGCCUUGGUGGCUAUUUUGAGUAUUUAGCAACCGGUGUGUUGUUGCCGGCCUUGGUAGUUGUGGGCUAUCCUACCUGAUCUAGCUCCUUGAGCCAUUAACCUUUUAUUCUAUUUUUGUUCUUGAGUCACUGUUAAAAUAUUAUUCUAUCAUUAUAUUUGUUAUCAUUUAUAUAUUAUUAGAUCUGUAAUAUUGGUUAAUAUUAUGUUAAUAUUUCUUGUGAUAUUUCUGUAUUAUUGAUUCAGUAACAUUAAUUGUAUUAAGAGUUUUCUUGACCCCGAUUCAUUUGUAAUAGUUGAGCUAGAGUUUACGUUUCUUGGGGCUCACUACUGAAGGAUUUAAGCCCAACAAUGGUAUCAAAUCUUUUGAGUUCUGUCUCCAAUGCCGAGUGUUGUACAUCGUCUUCAAAAGUGUUGCUACUUGGUUGUUCAAGGUGUGCUGUUGUGCUGCUGCUUGCUGCAGAACUUGCUACAAGCCCCCUCAAGAUGGAGUUGAGGAAGAGAGGCCAUACUUGAACAGAAAUCGCGCAAAAUCAGCAGUAGAAAGAGACUUGGUGAAUAGAUCUGCAAUUUGAUCAGACCCAGAAAUGUGAGCUGGUGAGAUAAAGCCAAGCUUGAACUAAUCGCGAACCAAAUGGCAAUCAAUGUCAAGAUGUUUGGUGCGCUCGUGGAACACGGGAUUCACGGUGAUUUGCAAAGCGGCUUUGUUGU